AGGGUCAGAAUAGUGAUUUCGUCCUCUUCUUUGUCUUCUCGGAGCUCCUAGCCAUGGAAAUGGCUGAGCCAUCUUGGAUCCACCGCAUCUGAAGAUGACCCCUAAGCCCCCCCUCGGUUUUCAACCUCCUGGUCCUUGCCUGCACGCACCUCAUGGCUGGGACGGCGCUUGGUUUGGAUUCCCGCGUGCCUCGUCGAUCUCCCAGGCCGGUCAAUGGGAGCAGGGCCCUAAUAGCAGCUGCGUGAUGGAGGAUGCGAGGUCGUCGAAGUCGACGGUUCCUUCCCAGUAUGUAUCCAUGGAGGCGAUGAAGUAGUGGAUCUCGUUCCAUUAGCUCCUACGCGAUUUUGGGAUCUUGGGGGUGUUGUCCGUCCCCAAGCGUCGAGCCAUUGGCGUCAAUGCUGUCCCCAAGCGAGGCACUCCGACGCAUCCUCUUCGUCCUCAACAGCGACAGCCCGGCUUCGGCAUUGCAUUCUUCCACCUACAGAGUAGUACAUCAUAUCCAUGUACUUAUGGUUAUAUAAAAGGCUGUUAAAAUCCAUCUAGUUCAUGGCGAAGGAGAUGGCCUCUGCCCAGCGAACGUUCAAGUCCACACCCAUCUAGUUCAUAUGUAUACAAGUCGUGGCACAUGCUCUUUUUAAUAAUUUUUAUGCCUAAACAAAUCAUUUGUUUUGUAUUGAUCAGUGUAUACAUGCACUUUCCCUUAGUGCAUGGACAACUCUUUUGUAGUAAAUUCACAGACAUAAUUGAUGAUGGUACCUUAGACUACAAAAUUGAUAAUUUAUAAUUAGUUGAGUGAAAUCGGUUUUCGCUCUCCAUGCCUGAUGUCUUGAAGCACAGUAUGCGUAAAGCACUACCAAGAUUUGCUAUCUCGGCCAUUUAAGUCCUGCGGUACAGUGGAGAUUCCAAUAAUCCUAUAGUCCGUGGAUGCCUCAUAUUUGUAAUCAUUUAUUGAAUAUGAAUGUCAAAAGGUGAAAAUGCGUGUUAGAGAGGCGCACAUCUAUCAUAAGGACCUGGUGAUUUUCAAGAAUGAUUAUGCGGACCAGACAUGUUACGGAUCUACAUAACCAACUAAGUACACCUCCUUUUUGAUUCUAUUGUCAUUAUAAACAAAAGCCUCCUUUAUCAAUUCCUUGUGAUGCUAAAAAAAAUUAAGUUCAUAUGAGAAAGGAAGACGUAAUAUCAAUAGAAUUUGCAUAAUUAAAUACUAAGAUGAGCACAACUAAACACUCAUAGUCUCCAAAGUGGAUUUGUCUGGAUGCACACAUAAUAAGUUAAAUCCAUGUUCUCAUGAGCUCAAAAUAAACACAAUUGUAUGCCAACGCAAAUUACUACUCCCUCCGCUCACAAAUAUAAGAUGUUUUGGAUAUUUCAAUAUGGACUGAAAUGAGUGAACAAACACACUAAAGCGUGUCUAUAUACAUCCGAUUCACAAAAAAGUUAGAACAUCGUAUAUUUGUGAACGAAGGGAGUACGAAGUAUUUAGAGUAUCUAGAAUAUAUUUGUAUAAGUACAAUCAAGGGAAUUAAGUUUGUAGUUUAGCACUUGCUCUGCCUUGUUCUACCCUGUGUUCCUUCCAGGUGCUUUCCUAAUCAUCUUGUCUUCUGUUGAUUCUUUUCUCCUAUUUUUGCAUGCUGUCCUUUUUUCCGUUUUUCCUGUAGAUUUUGAAUCCCAUUCGUUCACUAAAAUUUGAAUGUCAGUAACAUAAUUUCCUUGCUAGGCUAGCUUUAAUAAAAAAAUAGUCGUGUUCAGAGAUGCAUAUGGGGCAUUGUAGCACCAAGGUGCUAGUGAAUGUCCGUUCUAACAUUUAAAAAUAUGAAUUUUGUUUCUUUGAUGGGAGUACCUCGUCAUUGAUACUGUCAAUGCUAUACUGGUCAUGUUUUUUGUCCUGUCCCGCCUGCAAGGUAAGAUACUAUACCAUGUCGUUUGGAUUAUAAAAUAGGACGGUUGCUUUUCUUAAAUUGGAAAUGUAAAGUUUUGACAUGUGUAAAGUGUUCUUUCAUGCACUCUUUUAAAGUAUUUUAACAUGUGUGAAGUUUCUUCAUAGUCUUCAUUUGAAUCAUCUUCUAAUGUAAUUACAUAUGGACAUACUUUCUUUUCGAAUAUAUUUGCCUGCAGUUUUUGGAAAUUCAUAAAACAACAACAAUUAUUUAACACAUGUAAAAGAUGAGAAGUGAAAUACCUGAUUAUUGAGAAGUUUGUUCUCUGUAAUCUUUUUUGCUUCAUUCAUGACUUUUGUUCCUUGGAUUUCCAUUAUGCUUUAUAAAGAACAUUCUCACAGUAUACUAUUGGUAAACUAUUUGAACUUGUUUUCCAAUAUGGAUCCUGCUGGAGGUGGCUUGAUUUCAUGCAGAAGAUGGUACCUGCUCGAGGUGGUGUUGUCGCUAGACGGAACUAAUGAUGUAGGUUGUGUCAUUGCUGGCUGAGGUUGAUCGGACAAUCCUCAAUGUAACGUACAAUGUUCUACAAGCACAAUAUUGGUAAGUGGAAGUAAAAGUAAGUGCCUUGCCUAAUUGAGCUUAAACUUGUUAGUUGGGCGGCAACCAAAUAUGAACUUAUAUAUGUGCUAUUAAUUAGAGCAAAGGGGUUUCAUGAAAAGGACAGGUGCAUAUGAACUUCUAGGUGUGCUACAAAGUAUUAUUAACUAAAGAACAGAACAUUUAUUGGUAAAAAAGAGGCGUGCAUGCAAAGAGUGAUAGUAUAGGUUUUAGAGAAUCGAUCUAAUACCUGCCUCAGCUUGGGUUGCCACUAAUGUUACAUUGUGCAACCACAAUUCCAAUGGAGAUGGUGGACGCUCUAGGGCAUCCCAGUUCUUUUUUUUCUGAUCUAUCAGGUCCAACACCUGCGGCUGCUCGUCAGGUCCAACAUCCGCGUCGAGGAGUCCUGCUUCGUUGUGAAGGGAGAAGUCGGUUUUCAGUCCCUCAUGAAGGCGAUGCAGUUCAUGGUGUACGUCUGUUCCAGGCCGGCGCUUUGUAGACAGAAUUUCAAAAUUCAGGACAUCUUGGAGGAGAACCGCUAGGGUUCUCUCAAGGAAGUUUAGGUGCAUCCGUGAAGCAAGAAUCUUCUUGAGCGAAUCUUGAAGGAGAUCUUUCUUUCUGGUAAAUAUCUACGCCAAAGAUAGCUCCCUAUGUAUUUGAUAGAACGGAUGUAAAUCUUUUGUAUGUCCAUCUGUACUGUAAUCUAGUAGUAAUGAAACAAUAGUUUCUCUCGGAUGCAUGUACUGCUUUCAUGUAAGGAUGCAUGUACUGCUUUCAUGUAAGAUUUAACAUCAUGUAAGAUUUAACAUCAGAUUGAAAAGAAAGAAAACUUGGUGCUUCAUCAA